GAUCAACGCUGGCGGCGUGCCUAAUGCAUGCAAGUCGCACGGGGUGGCCUUCGGGUCGCUUACGUGGCGGACGGGUGAGGAACGCGUGGAUCACCUGCCCGAUGGUGGGGGCUAGCCUUCGGAAACGGAGGGUAAUUCCGCAUGAGCUUGCCGACCGUGUGGGGUUGGUAAGGAAAGCUCGCAAGGGCGCCAUCGGAGGGGUCUGCGUCCGAUUAGUUAGUUGGUGGGGUAACGGCCUACCAAGGCGGUGAUCGGUAGCUGGUUUGAGAGGAUGAUCAGCCACACGGGGACUGAGACACGGCCCCGACUCCUACGGGAGGCAGCAGCAAGGGAUUUUCCGCAAUGGGCGCAAGCCUGACGGAGCAACGCCGCGUGCGGGAUGACGCUUUUCGGAGUGUAAACCGCUGUUCGUGGGGACGAAGCACUGACGGUACCCACGGAGGAAGGCCCGGCUAACUACGUGCCAGCAGCCGCGGUAAUACGUAGGGGUCGAGCGUUGUCCGGAGUUACUGGGCGUAAAGCGCGUGCAGGUGGCUCAUUACGCCCGGCGUGAAAGCCCCCGGCUUAACCGGGGAGGGUCGUCGGGGACGGGUGAGCUUGAGGGUCGCAGGGGCUGGUGGAAUUCCCGGUGUAGUGGUGAAAUGCGUAGAGAUCGGGAGGAACACCCGUGGCGAAGGCGGCCAGCUGGGCGAGCCCUGACACUGAGACGCGAAGGCGUGGGGAGCGAACGGGAUUAGAUACCCCGGUAGUCCACGCAGUAAACGAUGCCGACUAGGCGUGGGGGGACUUGACCCCUUCCGUGCCGAAGCUAACGCAUGAAGUCGGCCGCCUGGGGAGUACGGCCGCAAGGCUAA
rnacentral:rRNA from 1 species